GACGAACGCUGGCGGCGUGCUUAACACAUGCAAGUCGAACGAAGUGGCGAACGGUUGAGUACUACUUGGGUAACCUUCCCUCCUUUUUGGGUUAAGCCUUGGAAACGGUUUCUAAUACCUAAUCAAGGUGGAUGGUCUCGCGGCCUAUCAGCUUGUUGUUGGGGUGAUGGCCUACCAAGGCGGUGCCGGGUAGCCGGCCUGAGAGGGUGACCGGCCACACUGGGACUGAGACAAGGCCCAGACGCCUACGGGAGGCAGCAGUGGGGAAUAUUGCACAAGGGGCGCAAGCCUGAGGCAGCAAUGCCGCGUGAAUGAAGAAGGCCUUAGGGUUGUAAAGUACUUUCAGCGGGGAGACGUUACCCGAAGAAGAAGCACCGGCUAACUCCGUGCCAGCAGCCGCGGUAAUAC
rnacentral:rRNA from 1 species